rnacentral:lncRNA from 1 species
AAAAAUUUGGCUUCCGCGUGGUGUCAUCAAAGCAUUAACCAGACCUUUAGAACCCUAAUUGACUCAUCCUGGCCAUUAGAAAGUAGUGAGAUAACUGACUUCGGUUCCGACUGGGGUUGGUUGAGACUCGAUACUACACUCCUCGAGAUUGGACUUUAGGGAAGCUUCGGUCAACCACUUGGUGUUGCACUGAAGUGGACUUA